rnacentral:lncRNA from 1 species
UGUGCAGAGAGGCUUGCAGGUCCAAACCACUGGUAGCAGCCCCUGGUAUAUCCAGGACAUCAGCACAUAGAACCAGUGAAAGGGUCCUCCCUCAUAGUGACGCAUGUCAUAGACUCAGAUUUAUACAAACAAAUGCUGAGCAAACCAUGAAGAGUCUCUGGUAUUUUCAACAAUAUCAUCACAGAGGAACUGUAUUGAUUUCCUUGAAUUCUUGACCAAGACUACAAAUGUAGCCCAUUUGACAUCGAAAACAUUGGGACAGGUGUGAGAGUGAGGAAAAUGGGGAGAAAAAAGAACUUUGAAGACAAGGAUUUGAAGUUAGCAUGAAGCAUGGAAAGGAGGAAGGGCAAGCUUUCUGCAGUGAGGACAGUGCCUGCCAGAGAAAACCAGAUCCUGGGGAGGGGUUUCUCCAGAAAGAGAAAGUCAAAGCUGCAGAUGGGGUUUGCAGGAGCAAUGGCUGUAGGGACACUAAGAUUUCACCCUCCAGAAGACAGCAUCUUCCUGUGCCAUGGCUAGAUCACCAGCUACCCACAGACAGCCUGAACUCCAAUUGUCUUCCUGCACAUGUGCCUUUAAAGGUUUUACUGGCAUUAUUGCUUUUUUACUUCUGGAACUUUUCAAAUGUAGAGGAGCCUUUAGAAGGAAGCCUUGAGCAUGAGGACAGACCCCCCUCAUCCAACCACCACCUGACUCUGUGUGAACCUGGAACUGUUAGAAUGUCUGUGCUGUGAUAAAAGGUCAUCUCCCUACAAUGUUAUGAUACAGACCUCAAACCUACAAACAUGAGGAACUUCUGCCUCCAGGUUAACUGCUUACCCACUGUACAAGACACGUUACACACAGUCCAGGAGGCGGAGCUUCUGAGAUAUCUAGAAACAGCUUAGAGGCAAAAUGACAAAAUAAAGCAGCAACAACAAAUAAAA